GACGAACGCUGGCGGCGUGCCUAAUACAUGCAAGUCGAGCGGACUUGACAGAGCUUGCUCUGUUCAAGUUAGCGGCGGACGGGUGAGUAACACGUGAGCAACCUGCCCCGAAGACCGGGAUAACACCGGGAAACCGGUGCUAAUACCGGAUGCCCUCAUCAUGUCGCAUGGCGAGAUGAGGAAAUGGAUUCCGCUUCGGGAUGGGCUCGCGGCCUAUCAGCUUGUUGGUGAGGUAAUGGCUCACCAAGGCUACGACGGGUAGCUGGUCUGAGAGGAUGUCCAGCCACACUGGGACUGAGACACGGCCCAGACUCCUACGGGAGGCAGCAGUGGGGAAUCUUGCACAAUGGGCGAAAGCCUGAUGCAGCGACGCCGCGUGCGGGAUGACGGCCCUCGGGUUGUAAACCGCUUUCAGCAGGGACGAUUGUGACGGUACCUGCAGAAGAAGCCCCGGCCAACUACGUGCCAGCCGCCGCGGUAACAC
rnacentral:rRNA from 1 species